rnacentral:lncRNA from 1 species
UUAGUCUUUUUAUACACACUUCUUGCUAGCUAAUAACACAUCAUAUAAUGUUCGAAAAUAUUUAGUUUGAUAUUUAAAGAACAUUUGUAAAUCGUCGAUGGAUUGAAUGUGGUUUUGUUUCAACCAAAAACUAUGAAGUUCAGAUCGCAUCUGGAGUCUUCUAAAAUGACUGUAAUUUGUAUCAUAAACUCCAAACAAUAAUUUGGAAACAUGAAACUUUUUGUUUUCUCCAAGUGAACUACUUUGCAUCUUUACUCAUGA